UACAGGGGGGGCAAGCGUUGUUCGGAAUUACUGGGCGUAAAGGGCUUGUAGGUGGCCAAUUAAGUCAGACGUGAAAUCCCUCAGCUUAACUGGGGAACUGCGUCUGAUACUGGAUGGCUUGAGUUUGGGAGAGGGAUGCGGAAUUCCAGGUGUAGCGGUGAAAUGCGUAGAUAUCUGGAGGAACACCGGGUGGCGAAGGCGGCAUCCUGGACCAACACUGACACUGAGGAGCGAAAGCCAGGGGAGCAAACGGG
rnacentral:rRNA from 1 species